rnacentral:rRNA from 1 species
AUUGAACGCUGGCGGCAUGCUUUACACAUGCAAGUCGAACGGUAACAGGUCUUCGGAUGCUGACGAGUGGCGAACGGGUGAGUAAUACAUCGGAACGUGCCUAGUAGUGGGGGAUAACUACUCGAAAGAGUAGCUAAUACCGCAUGAGAUCUACGGAUGAAAGCAGGGGACCUUCGGGCCUUGUGCUACUAGAGCGGCUGAUGGCAGAUUAGGUAGUUGGUGGGGUAAAGGCUUACCAAGCCUGCGAUCUGUAGCUGGUCUGAGAGGACGACCAGCCACACUGGGACUGAGACACGGCCCAGACUCCUACGGGAGGCAGCAGUGGGGAAUUUUGGACAAUGGGCGAAAGCCUGAUCCAGCAAUGCCGCGUGCAGGAUGAAGGCCCUCGGGUUGUAAACUGCUUUUGUACGGAACGAAAAGCCUGGGGCUAAUAUCCCCGGGUCAUGACGGUACCGUAAGAAUAAGCACCGGCUAACUACGUGCCAGCAGCCGCGGUAAUACGUAGGGUGCAAGCGUUAAUCGGAAUUACUGGGCGUAAAGCGUGCGCAGGCGGUUUUGUAAGACAGUGGUGAAAUCCCCGGGCUCAACCUGGGAACUGCCAUUGUGACUGCAAAGCUAGAGUGCGGCAGAGGGGGAUGGAAUUCCGCGUGUAGCAGUGAAAUGCGUAGAUAUGCGGAGGAACACCGAUGGCGGAGGCAAUCCCCUGGGCCUGCACUGACGCUCAUGCACGAAAGCGUGGGGAGCAAA